GACGAACGCUGGCGGCGUGCUUAACACAUGCAAGUCGAACGGAAAGGCCUGCUUUCCCUUGUGGAUUGCGGGUACUCGAGUGGCGAACGGGUGAGUAACACGUGAGUGAUCUGCCCCCAACUUGGGUAUAAGCCUGGGAAACUGGGUCUAAUUCCCGAUAGGACUGCAGGGUGGUGCCUGUGGUGGAAAACGAUUUUCCAGUGGUUGGGGUUGAGCUCGCGGCCUAUCAGCUUGUUGGUGGGGUAAUGGCCUACCAAGGCGGCGACGGGUAGCCGGCCUGGGAGGGUGGACGGCCACAUUGGACCUGCGAUACGGCCCAGACUCCUACGGGAGGCAGCAGUGGGGAGUAUUGCACAAUGGGCGGAAGCCUGAUGCAGCGACGCCGCGUGGGGGAUGACGGCCUUCGGGUUGUAAACUCCUUUCGACCGCGAGGAAGCCACCUGGUUGGAAGGGUGGUGACGGUAGUGGUAGAAGAAGCACCGGCUAACUACGUG
rnacentral:rRNA from 1 species